rnacentral:sRNA from 1 species
UAUUUUUUUCCUUCUUCUU